rnacentral:rRNA from 1 species
AACCGAGUCUUAAUUGGGCGUUAAGUUGCAGGGUAUAGACCCGAAACCCGGUGAUCUAGCCAUGGGCAGGUUGAAGGUUGGGUAACACUAACUGGAGGACCGAACCGACUAAUGUUGAAAAAUUAGCGGAUGACCUGUGGCUGGGGGUGAAAGGCCAAUCAAACCGGGAGAUAGCUGGUUCUCCCCGAAAGCUAUUUAGGUAGCGCCUCGUGAAUUCAUCUCCGGGGGUAGAGCACUGUUUCGGCUAGGGGGCCAUCCCGGCUUACCAACCCGAUGCAAACUGCGAAUACCGGAGAAUGUUAUCACGGGAGACACACGGCGGGUGCUAACGUCCGUCGUGAAGAGGGAAACAACCCAGACCGCCAGCUAAGGUCCCAAAGUCAUGGUUAAGUGGGAAACGAUGUGGGAAGGCCCAGACAGCCAGGAUGUUGGCUUAGAAGCAGCCAUCAUUUAAAGAAAGCGUAAUAGCUCACUGGUCGAGUCGGCCUGCGCGGAAGAUGUAACGGGGCUAAACCAUGCACCGAAGCUGCGGCAGCGAACGUAUCACCCAAGACAACUUUACGGAGUUGACGAUUGACGGAGCGAAGCGACGUCAAAGCGUUCAUUAAAGUCGAGUUGGCUUAGGGAUACGUUCGUUGGGUAGGGGAGCGUUCUGUAAGCCUGUGAAGGUGUGUCGUGAGGCAUGCUGGAGGUAUCAGAAGUGCGAAUGCUGACAUAAGUAACGAUAAAGCGGGUGAAAAGCCCGCUCGCCGGAAGACCAAGGGUUCCUGUCCAACGUUAAUCGGGGCAGGGUGAGUCGACCCCUAAGGCGAGGCCGAAAGGCGUAGUCGAUGGGAAACGGGUUAAUAUUCCCGUACUUGGUGUUACUGCGAAGGGGGGACGGAGAAGGCUAUGUUGGCCGGGCGACGGUUGUCCCGGUUUAAGCGUGUAGGUGUGUGUUCCAGGUAAAUCCGGUUCACUUUAACACUG